rnacentral:lncRNA from 13 species
AUGACACCAACUCAUCGUGUUGACGCCCUCAAAGAUGCCCUCUACUACGCAUCCAGGGUCAAGGAGAAGCAAGGCAGCACCCAGUCGGACGUGGAAGUUUGGACCCGUAAGACGAAGGAGACCCUCACAGACAAGAGGACGUUGUUCCUUACCUGGCAGGAGAGAUGCGUGGAAACUCCCGCAGAACAACAAUGGACAAACCAUUGCUGUGCGGCUCUCCAGAAAAUUCAAGCGUACAUCAGAGAGAAUAAAACCGCAGAUCAACGCCUACAAUGGAAGGAACAAGUCACCUUAAUUCCCCCCAAGACAGGAGUAUGUGAAGGUUCUCCAGCAAGACCAUCCAGUCUGGUCCCAGGUGUCCAACAACCUGGGGGACAGUCUGCUCCGGGCAAAGCAGUGUGCAGUGAUGCUGCAUAACAUGUGCCUUAGGGCAGCGGAGGAGAGGCACACAAUACAGGCAGACCUACACAAUGGCCUUUUGUAUUGCCAGCAAGAGCUGGGGCUUUUUAAAGAUGCAUAACAUGUAAAAUGCAGAACAUAUUAAAGCUCCAGCAAGCAUUUUCAAUGUUGGCUGAUGAUGGCUCAGUCAGCACAGAUGUAAAAGAGGACAGUGAAUCAGAAGAUGAAAGUGGUUGAGGAAUGAAUGUCUGUGUGUGUGUGAGUUUUAUAGGGCAAACUAUACACUGAGUAUUUCUAACAUUAGGAACACCUUCCUAAUAUUGAGUUGCACCCCCCCAGCCCCCCUUUUGCCCUCAGAACAGACUCAAAUUGUUAGGUAAUGUCACCUGUACCCCCGCACAUUGACUCGGUACCAGUACCCCCUGUAUAUAGCCUCGUUAUCGUUAUUUAAUUGUUACUUUUGUAAACUUUAUUUAGUAAAUGCAUUUUCUUAACUCUAUUUUCUUAACUGCAUUGUUGUAUAAGGGCUUGUAAGUAAGUAUUGUAAGUAUUUCAUGGUCAAGUUUACACCUGUUGUAUUCGGCGCAUGUGACAAAUACAAUUUGAUUGGACUCUACAAUGUGUGGAAAGCGUUCCACAGGGAUGCUGGCCCACGUUGACUCCAAUGCUUCCCACAGUUGUGUCAAGUUGGCUGGAUGUCCUUUGGGUGGUGGACCAUUCUUGACACACGUGUGAAAAACCCAGCAGCGUUGCAGUUCUUGACACAACGGUGCGCCUGGCACUUACUACCAUAACCCCGUUCGAAGUCAUUUAAAUAAUUUGUCUUGCCCAUUCACCCUUCUGAAGGGCACACAAUCCAUGUCGCAAUUGUCUCAAGCCUUAGAAAUCCUUUAACCAGUCUCAUCCCCUUCAUCUCCACUGAUUUAAAUGUAUUUAGCAAGUGACGUCAAUGAGGGAUCAUAUCUUUCACCUGGAAUCACCUGGUCAGUUUGUCGUGGAAAGAGCAGUUGUCCUUAAUGUUUAUUACACUCAGUGUAUAUGUUUGUCAUACUUGGGACAAGUAGGAUGUUAUGCAGAAAAAUAUGUUGGUAAGACAAGGCUAUGUAUGGAAGUCAGUGAUUUAUGUUACCUAUACUGUAGGUUAAUGAGGCAAUACAAAUGUGAUGUGAUCAACAUAUGGAUUAAAUGAAAGGGCCGAGAUUCAACAAAACCUUAAGAAGACAUUUCUUAACUGUCUUAUGAAGAAGGUUUUAUAACUCAAAAAGGUUAUUGGAAAUGUUAUUGUGCAAUUUCUUAUGUUUCCCAUUAAGCAUAAAGUUGGGAAGGAAUUAGAUUAUUGAAAGUGAAGUUAUUGUAUUUGUUCUUAAUUCCAAGAUGGCUAAACUCUUGUAUUAAACUCGGUGAGAGAAUAAGCUCAUGUUUAAUUGACUCACAAACUUCAUCUGACAUUUUUAGUAGGGUUAUUUUAAACCCAAGAACAUGUUUUAGAACCAUUAUCUUAGUAUGAAAUAUGCUAACUUGUUUGCCAUUUCUAGCUACAGUUGAAGUCGGACGUUUUCAUAUACUUAGGUUGGAGUCAUUAAAACUUGUUUUUCAACCUCCACAAAUUUGUUGUUAACAAACUAUAGUUUUGGCAAGUCGGUUAGGACAUCUACUUUGUGCAUGACACAAGUCAUUUUUCCAACAAGUGUUUACAGACAGAUUAUUUCACUAAUUCACUGUAUCACAAUUCCAGUGGGUCAGAAGUUUACAUACACUAAGUUGACUGUGUCUUUAAACAGCUUGGAAAUUUCCAGAAAAUUAUGUCAUAGCUUUAGAAGCUUCUGAUAGGCUAAUUGACAUAAUUUGAGUCAAUUGGAGGUGUACCUGUGAAUGUACUUCAAACUCAGUGCCUCUUUGCUUGACAUGGGAAAAUCAAAAGAAAUCAGGCAAAAAAUAGUUGACCUCCACAAGUCUGGUUCAUCCUUGGGAGCAACAUCUGGAAUGUGUUGGAGGGAAAUGUGAAAUCGCUGAGAGUCACAACAAGUGGUCUUAUAUAGCUUUUCUGUGCUUCUGCAGAGGAGAAGAAGCGUGUAUUAAGACUAAAAAAGAUAUCGAAGUGGAAUGUUUCCUGUAUGGAUUUUUGUAGCAGGGCGCCUAUAAAGGGGGUUAUUUCUGGGGUGGCACAAGAAGUACUGUAAAGGCAGAGGACAUAACUGAAGACAUACAGUGCCUUGCGAAAGUAUUCGGCCCCCUUGAACUUUGCGACCUUUUGCCACAUUUCAGGCUUCAAACAUAAAGAUAUAAAACUGUAUUUUUUUUUUGAAGAAUCAACAACAAGUUGGACACAAUCAUGAAGUGGAACGACAUUUAUUGGAUAUUUCAAACUUUUUUAACAAAUCAAAAACUGAAAAAUUGGGUGUGCAAAAUUAUUCAUCCCGUUUACUUUCAGUGCAGCAAACUCUCCAGAAGUUCAGUGAGGAUCUCUGAAUGAUCCAAUGUUGACCUAAAUGACUAAUGAUGAUAAAUACAAUCCACCUGUGUGCAAUCAAGUCUCCGUAUAAAUGCACCUGCACUGUGAUAGUCUCAGAGGUCCG